rnacentral:SRP_RNA from 1 species
GUCGGGCACAGUGGUGUGCACUUGUAGUCCCAGCUACUUGGGAGGCUGAGAUGGGAGGAUCAUUUGAGUUCACGAGUUCUGGGCUGUAGUGCGCUAUGCUGAUCGGGUGUCCGCACUAAGUUCGGCAUCACUAUGGUGACCUCCGGGGAGCGGGGGACCACCAGGUUGCCUCAGGAGAGGUGAACUGGCCCAGGUCAGAAAAGGAGCGGGUCAAAAUUCCCAUGCUGAUCAGGAAAAGGGCACUGGUGUAUAUCUGUUAGAAUGACCUCAUGUGAGGAAUUCUUUC